CCUACGGGAGGCAGCAGUGGGGAAUUUUGGACAAUGGGCGCAAGCCUGAUCCAGCAAUGCCGCGUGCAGGAUGAAGGCCUUCGGGUUGUAAACUGCUUUUGUACGGAGCGAAACGGUCUACUCUAAUACAGUGGGCUAAUGACGGUACCGUAAGAAUAAGCACCGGCUAACUACGUGCCAGCAGCCGCGGUAAUACGUAGGGUGCGAGCGUUAAUCGGAAUUACUGGGCGUAAAGCGUGCGCAGGCGGUUAUAUAAGACAGAUGUGAAAUCCCCGGGCUCAACCUGGGACCUGCAUUUGUGACUGUAUAGCUAGAGUGCGGCAGAGGGGGAUGGAAUUCCGCGUGUAGCAGUGAAAUGCGUAGAUAUGCGGAGGAACACCGAUGGCGAAGGCAAUCCCCUGGGCCUGCACUGACGCUCAUGCACGAAGACGGUGGGGAGGACAACAGGAGUAGUAUACCUACGGUAGUCCGACCGACCCUAACCGAUGU
rnacentral:rRNA from 1 species